rnacentral:rRNA from 1 species
GACGAACGCUGGCGGCGUGCUUAACACAUGCAAGUCGAACGGAAAGGCCCUGCUUUUGUGGGGUGCUCGAGUGGCGAACGGGUGAGUAACACGUGAGUAACCUGCCCUUGACUUUGGGAUAACUUCAGGAAACUGGGGCUAAUACCGGAUAGGAGCUCCUGCUGCAUGGUGGGGGUUGGAAAGUUUCGGCGGUUGGGGAUGGACUCGCGGCUUAUCAGCUUGUUGGUGGGGUAGUGGCUUACCAAGGCUUUGACGGGUAGCCGGCCUGAGAGGGUGACCGGCCACAUUGGGACUGAGGUACGGCCCAGACUCCUACGGGAGGCAGCGGUGGGAGAUAUUGCACAAUGGGCGGAAGCCGUGUGCAGCAACGCCGCGUGCGGAAUGACGGCCUUCGGGUUGUAAACCGCUUUCGCCUGGGACGAAGCGUGAGUGACGGUAAUGGGUAAAGAAGCACCGGCUAACUACGUG